AGUGAACGCUGGCGGUGGGCCUAACACAUGCAAGUCGAACGGCAGCACAGUAAGAGCUUGCUCUUACGGGUGGCGAGUGGCGGACGGGUGAGGAAUACAUCGGAAUCUACUUUUUCGUGGGGGAUAACGUAGGGAAACUUACGCUAAUACCGCAUACGACCUACGGGUGAAAGCAGGGGAUCUUCGGACCUUGCGCGAUUGAAUGAGCCGAUGUCGGAUUAGCUAGUUGGUGGGGUAAAGGCCCACCAAGGCGACGAUCCGUAGCUGGUUUGAGAGGAUGAUCAGCCACACUGGAACUGCGACACGGUCCAGACUCCUACGGGAGGCAGCAGUGGGGAAUAUUGGACAAUGGGCGCAAGCCUGAUCCAGCCAUACCGCGUGGGUGAAGAAGGCCUUCGGGUUGUAAAGCCCUUUUGUUGGGAAAGAAAAGCAGCAGGUUAAUACCCCGCUGUUCUGACGGUACCCAAAGAAUAAGCACCGGCUAACUUCGUG
rnacentral:rRNA from 1 species